CUGUCACCCCCAGAUCACCAGGUCUGC
rnacentral:piRNA from 1 species